GAUUAGAUUUUAUUUAUUAAUUAAUAAAAUUUUUAUUAUAAAGUAUUAAAAAUAAUUAUAUAAAUUAUUGUUUAAGUAUUGUAUAAAGAAAAAAUAAAUUUAAUUAUAGUGAAUUAGUAUUGUGAAAGAAAAUUGAAAUAUAUUGAAAAAUUUUUAUUAAAAAAGAAAAUUUAAUUUAUUGUACCUUGUGUAUCAGGGUUUAUCUAAUAAAAAAUAAUUUUAUAUUUUUCUCGAUUUUAAAAGAGUUAAUAAAUUAUUAAAGUUAAUGUAGUAAAAUUAUUUUAAAUAAUUUAUUAGAAAUGAAAUGUUAUUCGUUUUUAAAGGUAUCUAGUUUUUUAAGAAAUGAAUUUAAUUCAGAAAUAUUAAAUUUAUUUAGUUAGUUAAAUUAAUUAAAUAUUUUUUUUAUUUUAAUAUUUUAUGGGAUAAGCUGUAAAAUAAAUUUUUAAAAAUAAUUAAUAAUAUUAUUAAAAUAUAUGCUUAGAAUUAGUAAUUAUUAAUAAGUUUGUUAUAAUUUAUUAUAACUUUUAUAUUAUUUAUUAAAUUUUAAAUUUUUAUUAAAAAAUUUAUUUUAAUUUUAAAAAUAAAAAUAUAAUGAUAAGAUUAGUAUAUAUUUUUGUAAAAAUAAAUUUAAAUGAAAAGUUUUUUUAAAGAAUUCGGCAAAUUAAAUAUUCGCCUGUUUAACAAAAACAUGUCUUUUUGAAAUAAUUUUAAAGUCUAACCUGCCCACUGAUAAUAAAUUAAAUGGCCGCAGUAUACUAACUGUGCAAAGGUAGCAUAAUCAUUAGUCUUUUAAUUGAAGGCUGGUAUGAAUGGUUGGACGAGAUAUUAACUGUUUCAUUAAAAUUUAAAAUAGAACUUUAUUUUUUAGUCAAAAAGCUAAAAUUUAAUUAAAAGACGAGAAGACCCUAUAAAUCUUUAUAUUUAGGUUAUUUUAAUUAAAUAGAUAAAUUAAAUUAUAAUAAUUUUAAAUAUUUUAUUGGGGUGAUAUUAAAAUUUAAAAAACUUUUAAUUUUUUUAAACCAUUAAUUUAUGUAUAAUUGAUCCAUUAAUAAUGAUUAAAAAUUUAAGUUACUUUAGGGAUAACAGCGUAAUUUUUUUGGAGAGUUCAUAUCGAUAAAAAAGAUUGCGACCUCGAUGUUGGAUUAAGAGAUAAUUUUGGGCGCAGCCGUUCAAAUUUUAAGUCUGUUCGACUUUUAAAUUCUUACAUGAUCUGAGUUCAAACCGGCGUAAGCCAGGUUGGUUUCUAUCUUUAAUAAAUUAAAAUAUUUUAGUACGAAAGGAUUAAAUAUUUGAAUAAUUAUAUUUUAAAUUAUGAAUAUAAAUAAUAUUAUUA
rnacentral:rRNA from 1 species